UGGGGAAUAUUGGACAAUGGGGGCAACCCUGAUCCAGCGAUGCCGCGUGUGUGAAGAAGGCCUGAGGGUUGUAAAGCACUUUAGUUGUUGAGGAAGGUUGUGAGGUGAAUACCCUCAUAACUUGACGGUAAACAAAGAAUAAGCACCGGCUAACUCUGUGCCAGCAGCCGCGGUAAUACAGAGGGUGCAAGCGUUAAUCGGAAUGACUGGGCGUAAAGGGCGCGUAAGUGGAUGCGUGAGUAAAUUCCGUGAAAGACCCGGGCUUAACCUGGGAAGGUCAAUUUAAACGGCGUAUCUAGAGUGGAGUAGAGGGAAGUAGAAUUCCACGUGUAGCAGUGAAAUGCGUAGAUAUGUGGAGGAACACCGAUGGCGAAGGCAGCCCCCUGGGUUAACACUGACGCUCAUGCACGAAAGCGUGGGGAGCAAACAGGAUUAGAUACCCUCGUAGUCCCUGAGCGGGCUGGCAAGGCGCAU
rnacentral:rRNA from 1 species